rnacentral:rRNA from 1 species
UACGGAGGGUGCAAGCGUUGUCCGGAAUCACUGGGCGUAAAGGGUGCGUAGGCGGGUCUUUAAGUCAGGGGUGAAAUCCUGGAGCUCAACUCCAGAACUGCCUUUGAUACUGAAGAUCUUGAGUCCGGGAGAGGUGAGUGGAACUGCGAGUGUAGAGGUGAAAUUCGUAGAUAUUCGCAAGAACACCAGUGGCGAAGGCGGCUCACUGGCCCGGUACUGACGCUGAGGCA